rnacentral:lncRNA from 1 species
CAGGGGCUUUCCUCCCAGCGACGCGAUGUCGAGGAUCAUCGCCUUCUCCCAAAGUUCCAGCGGGAGAUUUGGGAGUCGGAGCCACAGGGUGGUCCGAUUCACCGCGUUGUCGCUAGGGAUGAAAUCCGGCCUCCAAGCUUCCACGGCCAGCAGCUGGCCGGCCACCCACCAUGGGCCGCCAACUAGUGCCACCUCCCGGUCGGCCUUGGAGCAGAAAUGCAGAGUGGAAACCUCCUCCGCCAUCGGGAUGCACUUGACCUCGUAGUCGAGUUUUCCCCAAGAUCAGAACUCCCGAACUAGCCACUUCGGCGGCACAUGCCUCCCCAAGCACCGGACGAGCACCGUCCUCGUUUCCCACAUCUCUCGCACCUUCGCUAUUCGUUCCGGUGGGAUUCGCAGCACCUCGGGGAA